AUUGAACGCUGGCGGAAUGCUUUACACAUGCAAGUCGAACGGUAGAGGGGGCAACCCCUCGAGAGUGGCGAACGGGUGAGUAAUAUAUCGGAACGUGCCCAGUCGUGGGGGAUAACGUAGCGAAAGUUACGCUAAUACCGCAUACGAUCUAAGGAUGAAAGCGGGGGAUCACAAGACCUCGCGCGAUUGGAGCGGCCGAUAUCAGAUUAGGUAGUUGGUGGGGUAAAGGCUCACCAAGCCAACGAUCUGUAGCUGGUCUGAGAGGACGACCAGCCACACUGGAACUUAGACACGGUCCAGACUCCUACGGGAGGCAGCAGUGGGGAAUUUUGGACAAUGGACGCAAGUCUGAUCCAGCCAUUCCGCGUGCAGGAUGAAGGCCCUCGGGUUGUAAACUGCUUUUGUACGGAACGAAAAGGUCUCUCUUAAUACGGGGGACUCAUGACGGUACCGUAAGAAUAAGCACCGGCUAACUACGUGCCAGCCGCCGCAGUAA
rnacentral:rRNA from 1 species